AAGUUGUUAAAUUUAAUGUAAUAACAUAGUGUGAAAAUAUGACCUUGAUUUAUUAAAUCUAGACAUAUAAAAAUUUUAACCAUUAUAAAAAAUAAUAGGUGAAAUCAACAUUUAAUGCUCAUCUCAGAAUUAGAUUUUAAGUAAAAUUUUAUACAAAUACCCAUGUGUUUUACUUGUUUAACUUGUAAAACUUUUUAGGACAUCAAUAUACAUGCCUUCUGUUUAUUCUUUCUAUUAGAAUAUCUUGAGUACUCAAAUCAGCAGUAAAAGUUCACACAAAAAACUGUUUGUAGUGUACAGGGCCUGAACUAAAACAUAUAAUUUUAUAAAUGGGGAUUUAUUAACUUUGUAGGGGAUCUGUAAUAAGCAAUGUUUAAUAUGUAUUAAAGACAAACACAUUUGAAGACAUGAUACUGUCAUACUACAAACAUUUUUUCUUUUAUAUUAAAAUGUUUUUUACAUGAAGAUUUUGAUGUUAAAUGCAGGUGUUAGCACAGGUGGGGCUGGGUAAAAUGUUGCACUGUGUUGUAGACAAUAGCCGUGUUUAAGUGUGUGAGGUGCUGCACAUAUUGAUCAUGUAGGACAUCAGUGAUCGUCAAACAUAGCUGAAAUUAUAAUUUUACACUAGAAUUUGCCACUACAACCAUCACCUCAUCUAAUAAAGCCAGAAUCCAGUCGUAGUAUUUGACAACCAGUCCUCCUCCUUUAAGCAUUUAGCAAAUAUUUCUUAGACAUGCCGGUUACCACUUUACAAUAUCGGGAAGAUUAGGACUUUUUUAUUUAGUUGUCAUCCUAUUUGUCGGUGAAAACAUGACAAAUGACAUAAUGACAAAAUUAUUUGUCAAUGACAUGUUUUCACUGACAAAAAUAAAGAAAUGAACACAAAAAGAAAUGGUGAUAAAUAGACUGUGGGAUAAGAAUGAUAUACAUUUUUUAACUAUGCUUAGAUUCUCCUAUUUAAACCUGUUAAAAUGUCAAAGUUAAAUAUUUAUAUUUUCUUAACAGGAACAAUCAAAUGACAAAGGUGAGCUGCAAACAAAAAACGGGUCUGCUGAGAAGAGUGACUUACAAACAGAACGGAUCUGCUGAGAAGAGUGACUUAGAAACAGAGAACGGGUCUGCUGAGAAGAGUGACUUAGAAACAGAGAACGAAAUCAGUAAACAGGACUGAAGUGAAUCAGAAACGUAGUGAAUAUGUUCCAUCAGACAAAGAGAGCACUGGUGAUGAGCUUGAUUCAGAAAGGGAGUCAGGGGUGCAAUUAAACACUAUUGACACAUUGAUUCCUUCAGAUAAGGAUUCUUUACAUACAAGCAA